UAAAGUUUUGGUCCUAAACUUGCCAUUGUUUUUAAUCAAGAUUACACAUGCAAGCCUCCACACACCAGUGAAAAUGCCCACAAACCCUAAACAGCUAGCCGGAGCAGGUAUCAGGACCAAUGCCUUUAGCCAAAGACACCUUGCUAUGCCACACCCCCACGGGCCCUCAGCAGUGAUUAACAUUAAGACAUAAGCGAUUAAAGCUUGACUUAGCUAUGAUUAAUAUAGUCGGUAAAUUUCGUGCCAGCCACCGCGGUUAUACGAAAGACUUAAAACAAUGGCCUUCGGCGUAAAACGUGACCAGAGAAACAAUCACAAACUUAAAGAAAAACUACCAUGAAGCCGUAAAACGCCACUAUGAACAAGAACCCCACCAGUAAACAGCCUUUAAGCAAAAGACUACUUUACCUCACGAAAGCUAAGGUACAAACUGGGAUUAGAUACCCCACUAUGCUUAGCCCUAAACAUAGACAAUAACCACACAAUAUUGUCCGCCAGAGAACUACAAGUGAAAAACUAGAAACUCCAAGGACUUGGCGGUGCCCCACAUCAACCUAGAGGAGCCUGUCCUAUAAUCGAUACCCCACGUUAAACCUUACCAUCUUUUGCCCCUCAGCCUAUAUACCGCCGUCGUCAGCCUACCUUGUGAAAGCAAAAUAGUAAGCAAAACAGUUAACAACUAAUACGUCAGGUCAAGGUGUAGCACAUAAGAUGGAAGAGAUGGGCUACACUUUCUACCACAGAACACACGGAUGACACAAUGAAAGAUGUCCCUAAAGGGGAUUUAGUAGUAAGAUAAACAAGCAACAUUAUCUUAACUCGCUCUGGAGCGCGCACACACCGCCGUCACCCUCAUCAC
rnacentral:ncRNA from 1 species